CCUACGGGAGGCAGCAGUGGGGAAUAUUGCACAAUGGACGAAAGUCUGAUGCAGCCAUACCGCGUGUGUGAAGAAGGCCUGAGGGUUGUAAAGCACUUUCAAUUGGGAGGAAGAUUAAGUAGUUAAUACCUACUUAGUUUGACGUUACCUUUAGAAGAAGCACCGGCUAACUCUGUGCCAGCAGCC
rnacentral:rRNA from 1 species